CAGAGUUCAUGCCCUAACGGGUAGAUCUCCCACCCUUGAAAUUCAUACCUUUGUUGCUUUGGCGGGCCGCUUUAGCUACCGGCCCUGGCUGGUAUGUGCCCGCCAGAGAACCCAACUCUUGUAUUUAGUGAUGUCUGAGUACUAUAAAAUAGUUA
rnacentral:misc_RNA from 1 species